AGAGUUUGAUCCUGGCUCAGGACGAACGCUGGCGGCGUGCUUAACACAUGCAAGUCGAACGAGGCCCUGCCUUCGGGCAGGUGACCUAGUGGCGAACGGGUGAGUAACACGUGGGCAACCUACCCUCAGCUCUGGGAUAACCCCGGGAGACCGGAGCUAAUACCGGAUAUGACCUGGAACGACAUCGCUCCAGGUGGAAAGUUUUUCGGCUGAGGAUGGGCCCGCGGCCUAUCAGCUUGUUGGUGGGGUAACGGCCUACCAAGGCGACGACGGGUAGCCGGCCUGAGAGGGCGACCGGCCACACUGGGACUGAGACACGGCCCAGACUCCUACGGGAGGCAGCAGUGGGGAAUAUUGCGCAAUGGGCGAAAGCCUGACGCAGCGACGCCGCGUGAGGGAUGAAGGCCUUCGGGUUGUAAACCUCUUUCAGCAGGGACGAAGCGAAAGUGACGGUACCUGCAGAAGAAGCACCGGCCAACUACGUGCCAGCAGCCGCGGUAAUACGUAGGGUGCAAGCGUUGUCCGGAAUUAUUGGGCGUAAAGAGCUCGUAGGCGGUCUGUCGCGUCGGCUGUGAAAACCCGAGGCUCAACCUCGGGCCUGCAGUCGAUACGGGCAGACUAGAGUGUGGUAGGGGAGACUGGAAUUCCUGGUGUAGCGGUGAAAUGCGCAGAUAUCAGGAGGAACACCGGCGGCGAAGGCGGGUCUCUGGGCCAUAACUGACGCUGAGGAGCGAAAGCGUGGGGAGCGAACAGGAUUAGAUACCCCAGUAGUCC
rnacentral:rRNA from 1 species